GUUUUGUGAGAGGAAGACAUGAUGGCAGGUCUAGCUGUCAAGCUGCUUGGAUGGCCUUGGAGUCAGAAUCUGCAGGAACCACAAGAGAUUGGAUGAGAAGCUGGGGGCAGAGUUCUAACAGCAGCCCAAGCCUCCACAGUGCCAAGAUGGGCCAUCUGCCUGUGAGAAGGGAAAGCUUCCACUUCUCUUAGCAAUGACUCUGGCUUAUUUCUAAUUUAGCAGAAAAAAAAAAAUGAUUCAAGCAAUAUCAUGUGCUUCUAUAUCUUCAAAGCAAUACCACACCAUCAAUUAGCAGCUCAGCGUACCAACAGUUCUAAACUUUUUGCGAGCUUCUUGGAAACAAGAUGUGGAGCUUCAGCAGAAGAAAAUUGGAGAAGAGAAGAUUGGCCUCAGACACUUCCGUCUUCAGACCUGUGCCUCUCCUUUGAGGAUCCCUUCCCCGAAGCUGCCAAGGAGAACCUUCCCUCACAUUGUUCCUCCUUUGUUCCCCGCUCUCCUUUUCCAGGCUGAGAGACCUGGGGCCUUGGAAGCAAGCACACGCUGGCUGAGCUGUGAUUCCUCCAUGUUGAUUAUAAUUUUUAUCACAUUAUAUGGGAUCCCUCUGGUGGUUACUAGGGGAUACGUCAGUUUUGAGAGAUUGGAACCUAACCAAAGAAGCUUCAAAUCUAGAGGAUAAGGGGACUCAGAGUUUACAAGUCACAGCAAGCAGAUGCUGGUCUGCUUUAGGUGCCUCUUACGGGGAUUGUGAGAGGGCUCCUGGGGCCUGAGGAGGGUCUUCUGAGGUGUGAAAGGCUGUACUGGUGGUCCCUGAAAGCCAUCGUCAUUUGUGUGAGGAGGAGUACUGGAGGAGCUGUCUUACCACAUGAAAAACAGCAUGGAGCAUCCCAGCCACAUCAAAGGCACGGUUUGAGCCUUGGGCUGUAGAGGCUCAGAGAGAGUGACAAAUAAGACCCUGGUGAGAGACCAAUGGGGACAGUAUUUCCAGACUUUGGCAUGAAACAGAUUUCUGAGCACCUCAUGAAAUGUCUGCAAGGGCAGCUCCUCAGAGUGACCCUCCCAAAUCAAUCAAAGCUGGCCCCCUAUCUUAAUUAUGACUUACAAAUAGAAGCAUGCACCUGGCUGGAUGCAGUUUGCCACAUGGUUUACAAUAGCGGUAGAAUAAGAAAUAACUUACCAAACGAGUACAUUUUCUUGGCUGGCUGGGGCACUCAGAGUUGACACUGGUAAGGCUCCAUUAAAAUGCCUUUAUGUUCUGAUAUACACAGAUGUGUUAAUUUAUAGCAUAUUCAUCAGAAGACAUAAAUUAAUUGCUCUCUGAUGAAUUUUAUAACACCUCCUUUAUGCCUCUCCACCCUCCCCCUCCAAAGUACACUGAAAAGGUCAACAGCACUAUCGAAUGCAGCACACUUCAACUUCCUUCCAAGCUUAUAAUUAAAGCUAAUUAGUAGCUUUGGUAAUUAGCGCAUGUAAGCUUUCUGCUUUCUGAAUUAAUAAGACUGAGUCAGGUUUUGAGCCAAGUAGACUUUUCACUCACUGGUUCUGAUUCUUGAACUGUGUUUGGCUGGUUAAUUUAAAACAUGUCUGUUGAAAGUGGAAUACUAGAAAGAAAACAUACUUGUGAUGGUCUGCUCUCAAGCCAGUGUGAUUUAUGAACAGGCCAAAGUGGAACUGUUGUCACAAGAGAAAAUCAGAAUGCUCUGGGUUUCCAAUAACUGACCAGUCUCAACCUCUCAGUGUGAAAUGAGUUGUGCCCAGUUACUAUGUCACAUGGACACAACACAACGUCAAGGAUGCCCUUGCACACUUAUGUCACCCUCUCAUAACACAUCUGUACUAAGCACAUCAAAUCCUCUUUAUUUUAGGAGAAUGCAGAGGCAAUGGCAGUGGGGUGCCAAGAUAUAACUAACUGCUCAUUUUGAUUCAAAUAAAAAUCAAAGAGGAGAAAAAUCAUUAGUCAAAUCAGCUUCUGCUUUUGUGUAGACAAAGUGAUUCUCCAAAUAGCUUCGUGUUUCUUUUUUUAGCCAGCAUGUGGGCAUCCUGCAUGCCCAGACAGAAUUAAAAGUGCAUGUUUUAAAAUCAAGAAAUCAAAUCUAUAUUCUAUUAAAAGAAAAAAUGUGAUUUGUUUUCAGACUUUAGAAACAGUUGGGAUAAAAAUUUCCACGGGUGAGCUCAUUUGCUUUUUCUUUUCCCAUACUAAUCUCAGAAAAUUUAUUUUUGUUUUUUAAAGAAAGAAAGGAAGGAAGAAAAAGAAAAUCACUUAGUGAUUUACUGGACUCCUUAUAAGUCCAGGACAAUGGUGGGGGUUGCUCACAGCGCUAGUAAUUUUGAUACAUAAAGAAAAGGAAACAGUCACUGCUGCAGAGAGAGGAAUAUAUAAGACAGCUCUGGGUCACUAGAGUAAAUGGUUUUCAUUUUAAUGGCGCACUUACUGCCACUGUGAUAGCCACAUUUGGAUCUGUAAGGGGCAGUUAAUACUAUUCAAGAGCAAGGCACAUUUGGUCUUGUGGAUGGCUGUGAUUGUGAAGGUGACAAGGGGUUAUGGAUUCCCACAGCCUCACAGGCCCAGCUGAAUAGGAAGCCUUGUGCCCCCUUGGCAGCUCAUCCUACCCCGUGGCAGCUCAUCCUACCUAGGUGGAUACACUCCAGUAAGAUCUAUACACAGUGGUUCUCAACUGGGGGAGAUUCUGCCCCCAGGGGAUACUUGGCAAUGUUUGGCACAGUUUUGAUUGUCAUAACUGGUGGGAGAGGGUAGAUGCUACUGGCAUCUAGUGAGCAGAGACUAGGAAUGUUGCCAAACGAUCAGCCAUGCACACGACAGUCACUCCUCAACAAAGAUGAUCUGGCCCCACAGGAUACUAGUGCCAAUGUCAUGGAACCCUGAUACAGAAGGUCUAAACAGGGUCUGAGGCCCUCCUUGUCUUUGAGGAAGAGUUAAAUGUUAGCUUUCCAGAUUGACUCUGGACUGAUCUUGGCCUUAUACAAGUCAGAAAGAAGUGAGUGAUAGCUCACCCACAGGGGCUAGAUCUGAGUCAGACUGGAAGAAGUCGGCACACUCAGGGUAACGGCAGCUGCCUAAAAGCCAAGCGCUGGGCAUUUUUAUGUUGCAGCUAAGGCCAGCAUGCUGCAUUAUGGAUGAGCUCAUGUGCCAUGGCAAACAGUUUAAGAACGAUGCUUAUAUUUAAUGAAUCCUAAAUGGUUUAUUACAGAGGGUCAAGUUUCUGCUUCCUGUGGGAAUUUGACAUUUAUGAAAAUGCACGCACAUUAAUUAUUCAGUGGAGACGUCCUUCCUAUGGAAAUUCACUUUCCUGUACACUCGACAGGACUACAUUCCCUGUCUGCAUGGGCUACUUUGUUGUUAAUCCUCUAAGCAUUAAUUAAAUAAAAUUUGCAACCGAGCCAGGAUGCAUCUACCCUCAAAUGUUAUGCAAAAGACAGUUAAAUGCUGUUUGAUUUUUCCUGCUAGUAGCCAAUCAUUACCCAUAGCUAUUUAUGUUCUUCCUUUUGUUCUUUAAAGCAUAAACCUGGUAUCUCUUCCCACUGAGAAGAAAACUACGCUCAGUAAUUAAAUUACACCACAUUAAACUUACUUAAGUUCACCAGCAGGGAAAAUUCCGUGCCCCUGGGUUUAACAGUAAGUCCUAAUCACGCUUGCAAGCCAUAUCUUUUCUGUGAGUUGUUAUAGUUUUCAUUCCUGGAAUUCCAUUAAAAAUGGUAAUGUCAUUACUCCUGUUACUGCUCAAAACCAACAGCAUAAUCCUGAAUUUUAAUUAGUAAUUACAAUUAAUCAUUAUUUCAUUAAUGAAAUGUUUAGUUGGUAAUUGUCUUUGAGCACCUUACUCCCUAGGCUUAUAAGCAUUUCAUAACAUCUAAUUUGUUGCCUGUUUCUGAUGAAGUGGCACUGUCAACCUUAUUUUAUGUUAACACUUUGAUGGGGCUCUGCAUCCCAGGCCUGCACCACCGGCUGCAUAUUUACACCUUGGAAAUGUGUGGCUUCUGGCUCUCGAUAAGGUUCGCCUGAGGACGUACCCUCGCAUUCUUUCCUGCCAGCUUAAGAAGGCGACUGUUUGUGCUCCCAGAGAGCACAGCAUGUGAAGAGAGAAAUAAUAAUUCCUGGAACGCUUACUUAAUAAUAAAUCUGGGAUCCAAAUUCAUGGAUUUUUGAGAGGGGAUAGAGCAAGGAUUUGGAGGUAGUCUUUGGAACAGGAAGGUUGAUUUUAAAAGAGCUUAAAGAAUUAAGAAUAAGCUGGGAGGGUUGUCAAGAAUUUAACACGAGGCAAGAUUUUUGUUGAUCCUUUUGCAAUAGCAAAGAUAUUCUUAUUUAUUAGGAUGGUUUUUUAGGGGUGAGGGGAAGCUUGUCUUCCCCACCAAAAGGUCAGGGACCCAAGUAUGCCUUGCACACAGUUGUAUUCCUAGCUCCUGGUGCGGGGUUGGGCAUACACGUGACUCAAUAAACAGCUAGAUAAGUCAUUGUUCCUGCAUGGCCUAUGGUUAGGCUAUGAAGGGGGUAACUGAGGUACAAGAGUUAAUGGUGGUUUGGUGAUGGUAGCAGGGUGUGGGAUGCUAGGAGAUGCCAAAUCAGUGGGCUGGUGUGCUCACAAAUGACCUGAUGUCAUAGUUGUCUGUCACUGACAAUUCUAAAAGGACGGAUUCAUCCGACUGCCCUCUAUGUAAAAAAAUUUACACAUACACACACACACACACACACACACACACACCCGACGGUGAAUUAUUCAGGGAGGAGAAAGCCUGCUAUCCUUGGCAAAUUAAACAAGGAGGAUUUGAGCAAAGAAAAGAUGUGCUGCUGUUAUUUCAAGGAAGUAUUCACAGCUUCAGAAUUAAAACUGAGAUGGAACAACAUCAGACUUGUUGGAAAAUGCUCCGCGUCUGUGGUGUAUUUCAGACAAGUUAGUCAGAAAAUUCAAAAUAUCUGGAAGAAAUAAAUGACGGCCAACAGUUUGGUGUUGGCCACCAGGUGCCAGAGCACGUAUGGUCUUGGCCUAAGGUGAGUGAAAGACAGGUUUCUGGGUCAAGACAGGUGUUUCCAAAUGGCAAUUUUUGAGGCUGCUGACAUUUUACAAAAUAAAAGAAUGUGAUAAAGCUUAAGUUUUUGGUUGUAUUUUAUAAAUGUCUAUAUUUAAGAAGUUCAUGCUUUAGCACACAUAAGACAUUCAACAAGUCAUUUGGAAAUAACAUCAAAUGUCGAAAUUUGAGACCCU
rnacentral:lncRNA from 10 species